rnacentral:rRNA from 1 species
UACAGAGGUCCCAAGCGUUGUUCGGAUUCAUUGGGCGUAAAGGGUGCGUAGGCGGCGCGGUAAGUCGGGUGUGAAAUCUUGGAGCUUAACUCCGAAACUGCAUUCGAUACUGGCGUGCUUGAGGACUGGAGAGGAGACUGGAAUUCAUGGUGUAGCAGUGAAAUGCGUAGAGAUCAUGAGGAAGACCAGUGGCGAAGGCGGGUCUCUGGACAGUUCCUGACACUGAGACACGAAGGCCCAGGGGAGCAAACGGG